rnacentral:rRNA from 1 species
CAGUCGCCACGGUAAUACGUAGGUGGCAAGCGUUGUCCGGAAUUAUUGGGCGUAAAGGGCUCGCAGGCGGUUUCUUAAGUCUGAUAUGAAAGCCCCCGGCUCAACCGGGGAGGGUCAUUGGAAACUGGGAAACUUGAGUGCAGAAGAGGAGAGCGGAAUUCCACGUGUAGCGGUGAAAUGCGUAGAGAUGUGGAGGAACACCAGUGGCGAAGGCGACUCUCUGGUCUGUAACUGACGCUGAGGAGCGAAAGCGUGGGGAGCGAACAGGAUUAGAUACCCGGGUAGUCCCUGUCUCUUAUAA